rnacentral:rRNA from 1 species
UACGUAGGGGGCAAGCGUUGUCCGGAAUUAUUGGGCGUAAAGAGCUCGUAGGCGGUCUGUCGCGUCUGUUGUGAAAACUCGAGGCUCAACCUCGGGCUUGCAGUGGAUACGGGCAGACUAGAGUGCGGUAGGGGAGACUGGAAUUCCUGGUGUAGCGGUGGAAUGCGCAGAUAGUCAGGAGGAACACCGAUGGCGAAGGCAGGUCUCUGGGCCGCAACUGACGCUGAGGAGCGAAAGCAUGGGGAGCGAACAGG